ensembl:lncRNA
UUCUGAGACAGUCAGACAGUAAUAUAUAGCCUAGAAUGCACGCAAAGUGCGCUCCCUCAUAUAAUCACUAAAAGCUGUCCCUCACUUCUGUCACACACUGACCUGCGGGUGUCGCUGCUGGACAGUGUUAUUCCUGCUUCCUGCUUGCCUGGCUGCUGUUUUGUGAUCAUAGCUCUGUAUAGCUUUGUUUUUCUGUACAAUCUUUAUCUUACUAUCACUCUCUUUUGUUUAAAGUGCUAAAAUAUAACUUAAUUCCCACCAUAUUUCUUAUAUUAUCUAUCAGUCUAAUCUGAUUAAUUUGAUCGUUCACUUUUAUUUUAAAUCCGCGAGUGCAGUGCACCUGCAUCGCAUUAGCACUCGUUAGCUUGUCAUUAGCGUUUCCAUUUGUGCUUAUCGCUGUUUUUUUUUCUCCUCUCCUCUCUCUCUCACUACUCUCUCUCUCCGGUUUUCAUCAAGUUCAUCAAAUAAUUGUGGUCACCGUAGCCACCAGAUCCAGUCUGUAUCCAACUCAGAGGGUGACUGCAGUCACCUGGAUCCAGUAUGUAUCCAGACCAGAUGGUGGAUCAGCACCUAGAAAGGACCUGUACAGCCCUGAAUGUCAGCAUAGACCAGGAAGAGCCCCAGAGACAGAUCCCCUGCAAAGACCUUGUCUAAGACGACCUCCGCGACAAGACCACAGGAAACAGAUGAUUCUUCUGCACAAUCUGACUUUGCUGCAGCCUGGAAUUGAACUGCUAGUUGCGUCUGGUCAGAGGAGAACUGGCCCCCCGACUGAGCCUGGUUUCUCCCAAGGGUUUUUUCUCCAUUCUGUCACCAAUGCCUCUGGCUUGCUUAGUUGGGGACACUUCAUUUACAGUGAUAUCGUUGACUUGAUUGCAAAUUAUUGCACAGAUACUAUUUAAACUGAACUGAGAUGAUGACAUCACUGAAUUCAGUGAUGAACUACAAACCCGAUUCCAAAAAAGUUGGGACACUGUACAAAUUGUGAGUAAAAAAGGAAUGGAAUGAUUUACAAAUCUCAUAAACAUAUUUUAUUCACAAUAGAAUAUAGAUUACAUAUCAAAUGUUGAAAGUGAGACAUUUUGAAAUAUCAUGGCAAAUAUUGGCUCAUUUUGGAUUUCAUGAGAGCUACACAUUCCAAAAAAGUCGGGACAGGUAGCAGUAAGAGGCCGGAGGGGUUAAAUGUACAUAUAAGGAACAGCUGGAGGACCAAUUUGCAACUUCUUAGGUCAAUUGGCAACAUGAUUGGGUUUAAAAAAGAGCCUCUCAGAGUGGCAGUGUCUCUCAGAAGAAGUCAAGAUGGGCAGAGGAUCAUCAAUUCCCCUAAUGCUGCGAUGAAAAAUAGUGGAGCAAUAUCAGAAAGGAGUUUCUCAGAGAAAAAUUGCAAAGAGUUUGAAGUUAUCAUCAUCUACAGUGAAUAAUAUCUUUCAAAGAUUCAGAGAAUCUGGAACAAUCUCUGUGCGUAAGGGUCAAGGGCGGAAAACCAUACGGCACUGCAUCACAUACAGGAAUGCUACUGUAAUGGAAAUCACAACAUGAGCUCAGGAAUACUUCCAGAAAACAUUGUUGGUGAACACAAUCCACCGUGCCAUUCACCGUUGCCGGCUAAAACUCUAUAGGUCAAAAAAGAAGCCAUAUCUAAACAUGAUCCAGAAGCGCAGGAGUUUUCUCUGGGCCAAGGCUCAUUUAAAAUGGACUGUGGCAAAGUGGAAAACUGUUCUGUGGUCAGACGAAUCAAAAUUUGAAGUUCUUUUUGGAAAACUGGGACGCCAUGUCAUCCGGACUAAAGAGGACAAGGACAACCCAAGUUGUUAUCAGCGCUCAGUUCAGAAGCCUGCAUCUCUGAUGGUAUGGGGUUGCAUGAGUGCAUGUGGCAUGGGCAGCUUACACAUCUGGAAAGGCACCAUCAAUGCUGAAAGGUAUAGCCAAGUUUCUAAGACCUAAGACAGUUGAGCAACUAUAAGCCUGUAUUAGACAAGAAUGGGACAACAUUCCUAUUCCUAAACUUGAGUAACUUGUCUCCUCAGUCCCCAGACGUUUGCAGACUGUUAUAAAAAGAAGAGGGGAUGCCACACGGUGGUAAACAUGGCCUUGUCCCAACUUUUUUGAGAUGUGUUGAUGCCAUGAAAUUUAAAAUCAACUUAUUUUUCCCUUAAAAUGAUACAUUUUCUCAGUUUAAACAUUUGAUAUGUCAUCUAUGUUGUAUUCUGAAUAAAAUAUUGAAAUCUGAAACUUCCA